rnacentral:tRNA from 8 species
GUGGAUGUAGUUCAGCUGGUUAGAACGUCGGAUUGUGGAUCCGAAGGUCGGGGGUUCGAAUCCCCUCAUCCACCCCA